UACUGGUACGUUCGACCGUAGGGAAGUGGUUAAGACUUCCUCUGGACGUGUCAACUGCAUUCUUCCAUGCUCCUCAUAUAUAUGGGGGCCUCGGAAUCCCUUCAGUUCGUUGGGUAGCGCCAAUGCUACGUAUGAAAAGAUUGAGCAAUAUUAAGUGGGCCCACCUCGCGCAAUCCGAGGCGGCCAGCUCAUUUCUUACCGACGAAUUGAAUAAGGCCCGGGGUAGAACUCUGGCUGGACUGAGUGAGUUGACAACGCGGACAGAGAUCGAAACGUACUGGGCGAACAGGUUGCAUAUGUCUGUUGAUGGUCGCGGCUUACGUGAAGCGGGACUUUUUCGUCCCCAACACGACUGGAUGUGUCAGCCCACGCGUUUGCUAACAGGUCAAGAUUACCGAAACGGUAUCAAGCUGCGAAUAAAUGCCCUACCAUCGAGGUCUCGUACCACGAGGGGCAGAAAUGAAUUGGAACGGCAAUGUCGUGCAGGUUGUGAUGCUCCCGAAACAACAAACCACAUCCUGCAAAAUUGUUACCGUACGCAUGGGAGGCGGGUAGCAAGACAUAACUGUGUAGUCAAUAACCUUAAGAGGAUUCUUGAGGAGAAGGGCCACACAGUACACGUCGAACCAAGUUUGCAGCUGGAAACCUCGGUAAGUAAACCAGACCUGGUGUGUAUCCUUGACAAUCACGCUUGCGUGAUUGAUGCGCAGAUUAUAACGGAUGGACUGUUUCUCGACGAUGUGCACCAUCGCAAAGUUGAGAAAUAUAAAAGACCGGAAGUUAUAUCUGCACUGCGGAGAGAAUUCGGAGUGUCGGGCAACGUCGAAGUCCUAUCCGCGACGUUAAACUGGCGUGGGAUCUGGAGCAAUCAAUCCGUUAGAAGAUUGAUAGCAAAGGGUCUCAUCUCAUCCGGUGACAGCAAUGUCAUUAGCGCCAGAGUGGUAACAGGCGGACUAUAUUGCUUCAGACAGUUCAUGUAUCUCGCAGGUUACACUCGAGAUUGGACUUAGCCUAUACACUAUGUUGGAGAGAAGACGCUUGCUACCUAGGCAAAAUGUGAAAUUAGGUAUAAACAUCGUGGUUGUAAAACUUGAGGUUGGUUUUUUAGUACGUAUGCGUGAUUACUUCGUAAUCAUGAAUCGUGCAUGCUAGUGGGGUUUGGCCUCCACUAGUAUCUUUGAAGAUUUUCCUUCCUCAGCGAUCAAAAAAAAAAAAAAAAAAUAGCCAAAUGCCUCGUCAUCUAAUUAGUGACGCGCAUGAAUAGAUUAACGAGAUUCCUACUGUCCCUAUCUACUAUCUAGCGAAACCACAGCCAAGGGAACGGGCUUGGAAUAAUUAGCGGGGAAAGAAGACCCUUUUGAGCUUGACUCUAAUCUGGCAGUGUAAGGAGACAUAAGAGGUGUAGCAUAAGUGGGAGAUAUUAGAUUUCGGUUUGGUAUCGACAAUGAAAUACCACUACUCUUAUUGUUUCCUUACUUACUUGAUUAAAUGGAACGUGUAUCAUUUCCUAGCCAUUAUACGGAUAUAUUUAUUAUAUCUUAUGGUAUUGGGUUUUGAUGCAAGCUUCUUGAUCAAAGUAUCACGAGUUUGUUAUAUAAUCGCAAACAAAUUCUUUAAUGAGAAAAUGCAUUUAUGUAUUUUCAAUUUGAAAAUUUGGUAUAACUCCAAUUACUCAGGUAUGAUCCAAUUCAAGGACAUUGCCAGGUAGGGAGUUUGACUGGGGCGGUACAUCUCUCAAAUAAUAACGGAGGUGUCCCAAGGCCAGCUCAGUGCGGACAGAAACCACACAUAGAGCAAAAGGGCAAAUGCUGACUUGAUCUCGGUGUUCAGUACACACAGGGACAGCAAAAGCUCGGCCUAUCGAUCCUUUUGGUUUAAAGAGUUUUUAACAAGAGGUGUCAGAAAAGUUACCAUAGGGAUAACUGGCUUGUGGCGGCCAAGCGUUCAUAGCGACGUCGCUUUUUGAUCCUUCGAUGUCGGCUCUUCCUAUCAUUGUGAAGCAAAAUUCACCAAGCGUUGGAUUGUUCACCCAUGCAAGGGAACGUGAGCUGGGUUUAGACCGUCGUGAGACAGGUUAGUUUACCCUACUAAU
rnacentral:ncRNA from 1 species